AUUCAAUGUGCAUAGAAAGUCAUCACAGCACUUGAAGUGUUCCUGCGCCGUCCGCUUGCGCUGCCCCGGGCUCACCGGUGUUCACAGACCGAAGUUCAAAGUUCUCAACACGCCAGUGGGCGGGGAUAGGAGGGACAACACAACAAUACUCAACUCUAAUUGGACUUGUGUCGCUGUCACUCAAACUGUAGGCCCAGCAUUUAGCUGUCUACUUUAGGUCGUCUAGUCGGACUUGAUUGAGAACUUGCUAUCAAGGCUCCUUGAAAGGCUCAGAAAAUCGUAACAUUCCAGGACUAUGUGGCUAGUGGGAGGAAAAGGACAGCUGUAUGCAAAACAUGCAAAACGUAAAUAACUGGUGUGACAGCCGCAACGUCUAACUUUUUAGAGUACCGGAAAUCCCCAACGGCAGGUGCUGCUACUGUCUUCUCCUGAAUCAGUCUGACGCCCUUCUCCGAGCCCAAAGUCAGGAAGCAAGUAAGGGCCGAGUCUUGCGGCGCGGCUGAACCGGUGAAUUCAGUGGCAACAUGAAAAUACAUUAUGACUAAUAAUAUAACUAUAAUUUUGAUAUAAUUGAUGGUCAGUCUUUGCAUCCAUAGUUUGUCUUUGGAUUUCAGAGGGGCUACCCCCUCUCGAGCUACAGAGGCAGGGAGAACUCUUUGCUGUUGUUUCGACAUUAUGAAAAGUACGAGAAGUGUAGAGGACAGGCACAAUUCUUUAUGGUAAGAAUGAAACAAUUAAGUUACUACAAAAUAAGUCAACGCAAAAAUAACAAACCUUUUUUUCCCUUGGACGUCAGUGCUUGUUUGAUAGAUAAGCAGAAAGCAGUAUUAACAGCAAAUAAUUCUCUUUGAUGCACAUGCCACUUCAUGUCAAACAAAACAAUGGCUAUGAGUUUCCUCCGUUUCCCAGUAUUGUAGAUUCUACGUUUAAGAUAAUGGAACUGUAUUUAAUGAUUGUAGUAAAAAACAGACCAUCCAUGUGAAAAAUCCUUCCAGCCAUGGGUUGAUUCUCCUUUGGAAGUCCAGAGCCUGCUAGCUUGACCUGUAAUUAAAACUCCUUUGACCAUUUCUACCUAAGCCUAGGCCAAUUAGCAGGGCGGUGACAGGACAAUUACAAAAGCAUGUUCACACCUUUUCCAGUUUUAAGACUUAAGUUCCUUUUUAGAGUGUUGUGGAUGCCUUAAGUCAGCUGGAUUACGCCAUAGUUUGCUGAUCUGCAAUCUUUAGACAUAAACAACAGACAACAACACACAAACACUUUUCCUACAUCAGUUCUCUGAUCUAUCUGAAAGGUGUGUGUCUGUCUAUUCUGUGGUUAUAUAGUGUGUUCUGUGAUAAUAUAGUGUGUUUUGUGGUAGUAAAUUGUAUUCAGUGGUAAUAUAGUGUGUUCUGUGGUCAAAUAUAGUGUAUUCAUAUGGUAAUAUUGUGUAUUCAUAUGGUAAUAUUGUGUAUUAUGUGGAAAUAUAGGGUAUUCUGAUGUAAUAUAGUUUAUUCUAUGAUAAUAUAGUGUGUUCUGUGUUAAUAGGGUGUGUGCUGUGGUAAAAUAGUAUCUUCUGUGCUACUAGGAUGUGUUCUGUGGUAAUACAGUGUCGUCUGUGGUAAUAUAGUCUGUUCUGUGGUAAUAUAUUGUGUUCUGUGGUAAUAUAUUGUGUUCUGUUGUAAUUUAGUGUCUUCUGUGGUAAUACAGUGUCUUCUGUGGUAAUACAGUGUCUUCUGUGGUACUACAGUGUGUUCUGUGGUAAAAUAUUAUGUUCUGUUGUAAUUAAAUAUAUUCUGUGGUACUACAGUAUCUUCUGCGGUAAUUUAGUGUGUUUUAUGAUAAUAUAAUGUGUUACAUGCUGAUAAUGUGUGUUCUGUGGUAGUAAAC
ensembl:lncRNA